UUUCCGUAGGUGAGCCUGCGGAAGGAUCAUUAACACAUAUGGAACUUUACCUAACCUUAGUUCUUUAUUCAUUUUUAAGUGGAGUAGUUGGUAGGGAAACCUCCAGCUCCCCGCUUAAAAUAUGUUUCUAAACCUUUAAUUAAACAACUUACCUUAAUCAAGGCAACCAAAAAAUUUCUUUAUUGAAAAAAUUUUCAACGACGGAUAUCUUGGUUCCC
rnacentral:misc_RNA from 1 species